UAUUUGUAAAGAUGGCGGUCCAGUUUGUAUUAUACCUAUGUUAAAAUCCUCUGUUAACAUGGUUAAUCUUGUCUUUACAGGAGAGCAGAUAGAGCCUAUACCGCCAACGACAGGCUGUGUAGCUGUCAUUUUAAGGAUGGUGUAAAGGAAAAUGGACCAACAAUUUUUGCUUAUAGCAAAAAUCUUGGUUGCUUUCCAGACCAUUCUAAGCCAAAAAGACUUAGACUUGUUGAAGGAGAAAUAGAAGAGAAAGCAAAAUCAAACCAUGAACACUGUAAUGAUGCUCCAGAUUCCUUUGAAGAUAGAACAGGUUCUGUGGAAACAUUGUCCAAAGAUGUGCAAGGCAGCAACACUGAUCAUGAUCACUGCUAUGCUGUUUCUUUACCGGAGACAUCAGAGGAAAGUGUAAAUGAUUUGGAAGAAAAAGUCAAAGACCUCCAAAGAGAAUUAGAAUCUCUAAGAUUAAGAAAACAACCUUUUACCAUAAGAAACAUAAUACAAGACCCAGACAAGUGGAUGGACAGUACAAGGAUUUAGUACCAGUGACCAACUCCUUAUGACCCUUAUGAAAUUGCGUCUGAAUCUCAGGGAUCUAGAUUUGGCGGAAAGAUUCAACACCAGCAAAUCUACAGUAUCCAAUAUCUUCAAUACAUAUGUUGCAGCGCUUCAUGAAAUUCUAUUCGAAGGAGUGAUGAAAACUGUAGGAAUACCUUCCCAGUUAAAGUGCAAAGGAUCAAUGCCAAAAUCAUUCGAGGAGUUCUCCUCGGCAAGAACCGCUAUGGAUGCCACAGAGAUUACCCAGGAUGUACCCUCAAAUAUGAACAGCCAGUCCUUAUCUUAUAGCAACUAUAAAAGUCGCCAUACAGCAAAGGCUGUUACUUGUGUAGCACCAAACGGGGCACUUGUGUAUUGUUCCGAACUCUAUCCUGGUUCCACCUCUGAUGCUGCCAUAGUCGAUCAUUGUGGAGUUGUGGAUAUGUUAAAGCCAGGUGACAUGAUCCUUGCAGAUAAGGGGUUUAACAUUUUCGACAAACUUCCAUCAGGUGUAACAUUAAACAUACCACCUUUCCUUUCAUCAAAAUCUCAUUUUACAAAGGAAGAAGCACAGUUAUGUUACAAGAUUGGGAGAAGUCGAAUUCACGUGGAGCGUGCAAAUGAAAGAAUCAAGAACUACUGUAUUCUAGACCAUAUACCUUCACAAUACAGACAUUUGUCCACAAAGAUUUUUCAAUUAUGUGUGGCACUUGUAAAUUUGCAAUCUCCCCUACUGAAGGAAAUAGCCGAUAAAUAUGAAAUUCCUAAUUAGUGUAAUUCUGAGCUUCAGACCAUGUCUUAUACCAUGUCCAAAGAUAUCUUUGCUUUGACAUUUUGCUUAGGCCUAUAGUAAAUUUAAUUUUUUUUAUUUAUUAAUGCCUCAAAGUUCAAAAUAUUUUAUAAUGUAAAUAUUUUGAAACACCUCUUCCAUCUUGUCAAAUGAUGGACACAGGUGUUGGAAAUAAUAAUCUGGGGCAGAGUGUAGAUAUAUGUAGCACUUGUUAAACUUUUGCUGUACACUACUACAUAAAUGAUGAUGUGUAGUUAAGGUCAUUUCGUUAUUAACCACUUUUACACACUGUGAACUGACACAUGCUGAUGUUUGCUUUGAUCAGAAUUAAACAGUUAAACAAAAUG
rnacentral:misc_RNA from 1 species